UGACAGUACUCCUACGGGGAGGCAGCAGUGAGGAAUAUUGGACAAUGGAGGCAACUCUGAUCCAGCCAUGCCGCGUGUAGGAAGACUGCCCCAUGGGUUGUAAACUACUUUUAUAGAGGAAGAAAUCGCAAUACGUGUAUUGCUCUGACGGUACUCUACGAAUAAGGAUCGGCUAACUCCGUGCCAGCAGCCGCGGUAAUACGGAGGAUCCAAGCGUUAUCCGGAAUCAUUGGGUUUAAAGGGUCCGUAGGCGGGCGUAUAAGUCAGUGGUGAAAGUUUGCGGCUCAACCGUAAAAUUGCCAUUGAUACUGUAUGUCUUGAAUAAUUGUGAAGUGGUUAGAAUAUGUAGUGUAGCGGUGAAAUGCAUAGAUAUUACAUAGAAUACCGAUUGCGAAGGCAGAUCACUAACUAAUUUAUUGACGCGUAAGGGACGAAAGCGUGGGUAGCGAACAGGAUUAGAUACCCUGGUAG
rnacentral:rRNA from 1 species